UCUCCCCCCCCACCACCCCCUUCUUCUUCUUCUUCUUUGCAUCACGGACUCGGCAAAGGCAGCGCGGCGGGCGGGGGAGGCCGUGCCGGAGGAUGAGCGCCGUACUGUAAGUGAAGUAGGACCGAGCCCGGGCGGCUCUGUAAUAAAUUAAUAUCGCAAUUGCUCCCUCCUCGCCGACACCGACGUACGCCCCGCGCCCGGCCCCCGCGCCUGCACUUGUUGCAGACUUCACGCCAGUUCAGCAAGAAAAUGGUUGCUGUGUUUCCCCUCCCUCCCCUCAUCAACUGCUCAUGCGCAGCAGUG
rnacentral:lncRNA from 1 species